AGAAUAAUGCCAGCAGUCGGCCCUGGUUUCCUAGGGGCCAGCACUGGUGUUAUUGGGA
ensembl:miRNA